rnacentral:rRNA from 1 species
GUGAGGAAUUUUCCGCAAUGGGCGAAAGCCUGACGGAGCAAUGCCGCGUGAAGGAUGAAGGCCUAUGGGUUGUAAACUUCUUUUCUUAGAGAAGAAUAUUGACGGUAUCUGAGGAAUAAGCAUCGGCUAACUCUGUGCCAGCAGCCGCGGUAAGACAGAGGUCUCAAGCGUUGUUCGGAAUCACUGGGCGUAAAGGGUGCGUAGGUGGCGUGGCAAGUCAGGUGUGAAAUCCCGGGGCUCAACCCCGGAACUGCACCCGAUACUGCCGUGCUAGAGGGUUGGAGAGGUGACUGGAAUUCUCGGUGUAGCAGUGAAAUGCGUGGAUAUCGAGAGGAACACUCGUGGCGAAGGCGAGUCACUGGACAACAUCUGACGCUGAGGCUCGAAGGCCAGGGGAGCAAAAGGGAUUAGAAACCCUGGUAGUCC